rnacentral:rRNA from 1 species
ACGGGUGAGUAACACGUGAGUAACCUGCCCUUGACUCUGGGAUAAGCGUUGGAAACGACGUCUAAUACCGGAUACGAGCUUCCACCGCAUGGUGAGUUGCUGGAAAGAAUUUUGGUCAAGGAUGGACUCGCGGCCUAUCAGCUUGUUGGUGAGGUAACGGCUCACCAAGGCGACGACGGGUAGCCGGCCUGAGAGGGUGACCGGCCACACUGGGACUGAGACACGGCCCAGACUCCUACGGGAGGCAGCAGUGGGGAAUAUUGCACAAUGGGCGAAAGCCUGAUGCAGCAACGCCGCGUGAGGGACGACGGCCUUCGGGUUGUAAACCUCUUUUAGCAGGGAAGAAGCGAAAGUGACGGUACCUGCAGAAAGAGCACCGGCUAACUACGUGCCAGCAGCCGCGGUAAUACGUAGGGUGCAAGCGUUGUCCGGAAUUAUUGGGCGUAAAGAGCUCGUAGGCGGUUUGUCGCGUCUGCUGUGAAAUCCCGAGGCUCAACCUCGGGUCUGCAGUGGGUACGGGCAGACUAGAGUGCGGUAGGGGAGAUUGGAAUUCCUGGUGUAGCGGUGGAAUGCGCAGA